rnacentral:rRNA from 1 species
GGAGCUUGCUCCCUGAAGUCAGCGGCGGACGGGUGAGUAACACGUGGGCAACCUGCCUGUAAGACUGGGAUAACUUCGGGAAACCGGAGCUAAUACCGGAUAACACCGAGGACCUCAUGGUCCUUGGUUGAAAGAUGGCUUCGGCUAUCACUUACAGAUGGGCCCGCGGCGCAUUAGCUAGUUGGUGAGGUAACGGCUCACCAAGGCGACGAUGCGUAGCCGACCUGAGAGGGUGAUCGGCCACACUGGGACUGAGACACGGCCCAGACUCCUACGGGAGGCAGCAGUAGGGAAUCUUCCGCAAUGGACGAAAGUCUGACGGAGCAACGCCGCGUGAGCGAUGAAGGCCUUCGGGUCGUAAAGCUCUGUUGUUAGGGAAGAACAAGUACCGUUCGAAUAGGGCGGUACCUUGACGGUACCUAACCAGAAAGCCACGGCUAACUACGUGCCAGCAGCCGCGGUAAUACGUAGGUGGCAAGCGUUGUCCGGAAUUAUUGGGCGUAAAGCGCGCGCAGGCGGUUCCUUAAGUCUGAUGUGAAAGCCCACGGCUCAACCGUGGAGGGUCAUUGGAAACUGGGGAACUUGAGUGCAGAAGAGGAAAGCGGAAUUCCACGUGUAGCGGUGAAAUGCGUAGAGAUGUGGAGGAACACCAGUGGCGAAGGCGGCUUUCUGGUCUGUAACUGACGCUGAGGCGCGAAAGCGUGGGAGCAAACAGGAUUAGAUACCCUGGUAGUCCACGCCGUAAACGAUGAGUGCUAAGUGUUAGGGGGUUUCCGCCCCUUAGUGCUGCAGCUAACGCAUUAAGCACUCCGCCUGGGGAGUACGGCCGCAAGGCUGAAACUCAAAGGAAUUGACGGGGGCCCGCACAAGCGGUGGAGCAUGUGGUUUAAUUCGAAGCAACGCGAAGAACCUUACCAGGUCUUGACAUCCUUCUGACAACUUCUAGAGAUAGAGCGUUCCUCCUUCGGGGGACAGAGUGACAGGUGGUGCAUGGAUUGUCGUCAGCUCGUGUCGUGAGAUGUUGGGUUUAAGUUCCCGCAACGAGCGCAACCC